rnacentral:rRNA from 1 species
AUUGAACGCUGGCGGCAGGCCUAACACAUGCAAGUCGAGCGAGCGGCGGACGGGUGAGUAAUGUAUGGGGACUGCCCGAUAGAGGGGGAUAACUACUGGAAACGGUGGCUAAUACCGCAUACUAUCGGAUUACCCAUAUGGGAUUAGCUAGUAGGUGGGGUAAAGGCUCACCUAGGCGACGAUCUCUAGCUGGUCUGAGAGGAUGAACAGCCCAAAUGGGACUGGGAACAGGGCCAGACUACAAGGGGGGGAGCAGUGGGGAAUCAUUCGCAAAGGACGAAAGGCUGACGGAGCAAAGGCGCGUGGGAGAUGACGGCCUUCGGGGUGUAAAGGUAUGUUAAGCGGGACGCGGUACCGGAAUAGAAAGCCACGGCUAACUACGUGCCAGCAGCCGCGGUAAUUC